CUCUUUGUGCGGUAAACUCGUGGCUGGUGAGGAUGGCCGUCGCGGAGUUCGCCUGGCUUUUGCUGCGAAACCGUCCCCAAAGGCGGGGGAGGGUGCCGCCCGGCACAUUUGCUUAGCUGCGCACAUGCAGGCCCCUGGUGCUCGAAGGAAGAUCCGCAGCGCGACGAGGGAGUGUAAGAUGUCCACAUCUUAAAUGGCCGCACUCGCCGCGUAAGUCCAGGGCCAAGGAUCGAAGCCCAGCCGCAGAAGCACGGAAUCCUUUAACCUGCAUCAGGCUGGGGAUGGAACCCGCACCUCCGCAGCGACCCCAGCAGCUGCAGUCGUAUUUUUAACACAGUGUGCAAGAGCGGGAACUCCUUAUUUUUGAAUAAGGCCCGAGAGCUCCUUAUCUUUGAAGCCCAGCCAGGGGCUGUCCCAUAUAGUGGUUCCUGCCACUUGAACAGGCUGUGAGAAGUGGAGAAGAUGCCUUCAGCUUGGGUUCUGUGGUGUUGCUUUUGUGAAAUUUCAGAACUUUGCAGACACAAAAGGAUGUCCUCUCUGGUGUUGGACAGAUCUUGGGAGCUUCACAUCUUUCCUGCAUUAACACAUGGGAGCAGCUAUCAACUCUUCCGAGCCAGGCGAACUGCCUAGAAAUUUGGGGACCCUUAAAUAUC
rnacentral:lncRNA from 9 species